AAAGGUUUGGUCCUAGCCUUUUUAUCAACUUUUUCUUACCUUACACAUGCAAGUAUCAGCACACCCGUGAGAACGCCCUCUACCCCUCUUUCAGGACGAGGAGCUGGUAUCAGGCACUUUUGCCCAUGACACCUAGCUUUGCCACACCCACAAGGGUCAUCAGCAGUGAUAAACAUUGUUCAUAAGCGACAGCUUGAACCAGUUAAAGUUAAUAGAGCCGGCAAAUCCGGUGCCAGCCGCCGCGGCUACACCGUCGGGCUCAAGUUGAUAAACACUCGGCGUUAAGCGUGAUUAAAGUGAAAAACAAAUUAGAGUUAAAUUAUCACCAAGUUGUGACACACUUGUCCUGAGGAAACCCAUAAACGAAAGUUACUCUAACCAACCCACUUGACACCACGAUAGCUAGGGAACAAACUGGGAUUAGGUACCCCACUAUGCCUAGCCAUAAAAUAUUUACUCACACUUAAAACCGCCAGGGAAUUACGAGCUCAAGCUUAAAACCCAAAGGACUUGACGGUGUCCCACCCAUCUAGAGGAGCCUGUUCUAUAAUCGAUUCUCCCCGAUACACCUCACCCCUUCUCGCCUCUCAGUCUGUAUACCUCCGUCGCAAGCUUACCAUGUGAACGAGACAGUGAGCUUAAAGAUCCUCCACCCACACGUCAGGUCAAGGUGCAGCUAACGAAGGGGGAAGAAAUGGGCUACAAUUUCUAACCUAGAACAAACGAAAGACCACAUGAAAAUCAGUCAUGAAGGCGGAUUUAGUAGUAAAAAGAAAAUAAAAUGUUCUUUUUAAUAAGGCCAUGGGACGCGUACACACCGCCCGUCACCCUCUUCAAUAUGCCUCUACCUGUUUUUAACAUCUCCCUAGCACGCCAGAAGAGGUAAGUCGUAACACGGUAAGCGUACUGGAAAGUGCGCUUGGAUUAACAAAUUAUA
rnacentral:ncRNA from 1 species